ACAUCCACAUCUAUGAUAAUCCAACAGGUAAAAGAUGUUGAAUUCCAGGUAUAUGAGGAGUAAAACUUUUGGGAAAUUCUGAUUUAUAACUAGCAUUUAACUUCCAUGUAAUAUGACCUCAAAGACAGUGGAACUUACUUCGCCAAGCCGAGGUUGGGUGAAACUCUGCCAGUCCGUGUACGCAUAUCUGCCAGUAUCUCCCUGCCCCACUCCCUUGACGGACUCCAAGGUCUGAUGUCCACCUCCUUUGUUGGAAUCCAAAGUGUAGCCUCCUUUGACCAUCUCAAAACUUUGCUGUGUUUUGAUUCCCUGGCCACCAACAGUACCAACAGACAUGCUUGUGUCACAAAUGUUGGAUGUCUGCAUGGGGAGUCUAAUAUUUGCUUCCUAAAAGUAAAGUGAGAGUGAUAAAGUGAAUUUGAAAAAUGGAAACUAACAAUUCAUUUUCAUUUUUUUUCACCAUAGGCAAAUCACUUGCCUGCUGUGCCUCUCUGUUCCUCAUACAUAAAAUCAGAAUAAUAGUAUCAUAGGUGUGAUGGGUUGAAUUGAGUCCCCUAAAAAUUCAUAUGCCCUAACCCUCAGUAACUCAGAAUGUGAACUUAUUUGGAAAUAGGGUCAUUGUAGAUGUAAUUAGCUAAGAUGAGGUUAUAUGGGAUUAGAGUGGGUCCCUAAGCGAAUAUAAUCAGUAUCCUUAUAAAAAGGGGAAAUUUGGACACAGACAUGCACACAUGGAGAAUCGCCAUAUGAAGAUUUGAUUUCCACUGCCAUAAGCCAGGGAAUUGGCAGAAGCUAGGAGAGAGUCCUGGAACAGAUCCCUCCCCAGUUCCUUCAGAGGGAGCACGGACCUGCCAACACCUUGAUCUCUGAUUUCUAGUCUCCAGAUCUGUGAAACAAUACUUGUCUGUUGUUUAAGUCACUCAGUUUGUUGUGACAGCCCUAGCCCUGUAGAAUUGGGAGGUUUAAAUGAUUUAAAACACUGAGGGCACUUGAAACUCUGCUUAGCAUAGUAAGUGCUCAAUAAACAUUAGUGAUAUUAUCA
rnacentral:lncRNA from 10 species